UACGGGAGGCAGCAGUGGGGAAUAUUGCACAAUGGGCGCAAGCCUGAUGCAGCCAUGCCGCGUGUAUGAAGAAGGCCUUCGGGUUGUAAAGUACUUUCAGUCGUGAGGAAGGUGUUAAGGUUAAUAACCUUAGCAAUUGACGUUAGCGACAGAAGAAGCACCGGCUAACUCCGUGCCAGCAGCCGCGGUAAUACGGAGGGUGCGAGCGUUAAUCGGAAUUACUGGGCGUAAAGGGCACGCAGGCGGUUAAUUAAGUUGGAUGUGAAAUCCCCGGGCUUAACCUGGGAAUGGCAUUCAAGACUGGUUAGCUAGAGUCUUGUAGAGGGGGUAGAAUUCCAUGUGUAGCGGUGAAAUGCGUAGAGAUGUGGAGGAAUACCGGUGGCGAAGGCGGCCCCUGGCAAAGGACUGACGCUCAUGUGCGAAAGCGUGGGGAGCAAACGAGGAUUAGAUACC
rnacentral:rRNA from 1 species